UGCUGCUCUCACCCAUCUCUCCCCAGUCCCCUCUGUCUGGAUUGUGCCCGUGUCGGGGGAGCUGCCCCUGCUCUGUUGCUGCCCCAGCUCUGGACAGGAGCUAUCCUGGGGGASAUGCUGCACUCCAGACUCACCUGGGGGCCCCCUUCUCACUGCGGACCAAGGCAGCCCAAGGGCAAAGCCUGAGCUGGAGUUUGAGUCUGGGAACAAAGACCCAGAUGGAGCCCCAGGACACUGCCCAGAGAACCUGGCUCAGCAUCCCUGGAGCUGGCCCCAUCCCAGGGACUUCCCUGGUGCCGGUGACACCUGCAUGGCAGGGGAGGAGCAGAGCAUUGGGAUCACAGCUCUGCAAUGAUGCCAACUCCAUGCCUGGCSUCCUGCCCUCCCAAAUUCCAGGAGGAUUUUUCUGCCGCUGCCGACACAGCUGCUCCAGGACUGUGCCCCUCCACCCUCCUCGCAGUCUGUGCUGGGAAGGCUCUGAUUCCUGCACAGCACCCGACUCCUCCCUGGGCUGGAAGCGCCAGACCACGCUGAUGGGGACCUGCAUGUGUCCUGUAGCAUCCCAGUGCCCUGCCCAAGGAGGACAAGAGAACACAGCUGAGAAGAGAGCAUGGACAGAUCCCAAAUUACUCCCAGGACYAAGUGAGCAGCGCCAGGGAAGGCUCUGGAUGCCCAGGGCUGUGGCAGCACAACCCUGGGUGGGACACACAGAGCAGGGCUGACUCCUGGGCUCAUCCUCCAUCCCACCUCACUCCGGAGGUGCUGGGGACAGAUCCAAGGAGUGGGGGAUGAAGAGGGCACUGGGUGCCAAGAGUGGGGCARAGCUGCUCCUCCCAGGUUUUAUUUACUCCCUUGUCACCUAGCAAGGGCUGCAGGGAAGGACUUUGACGAUAGUAACCCCAGCAGAAAAGAAUGAACAGGAUAAUCUGGAAGCUCAUUUUGUUUUCUAAAUAACCAUGAAACCCUGUUAAAUAAAAACUACU